rnacentral:tRNA from 1 species
GGGGUUGUGGCUCGGAGGUAGAGCACCCGCCUAGCAUGCGUGAGGCACUAGGUUCGAUCCUCAGCACCCCA